GAUGAACGCUGGCGGCGUGCCUAAUACAUGCAAGUCGAGCGAACGGACGAGAAGCUUGCUUCUCUGAUGUUAGCGGCGGACGGGUGAGUAACACGUGGAUAACCUACCUAUAAGACUGGGAUAACUUCGGGAAACCGGAGCUAAUACCGGAUAAUCUUUUGAACCGCAUGGUUCAAAAGUGAAAGACGGUCUUGCUGUCACUUAUAGAUGGAUCCGCGCUGCAUUAGCUAGUUGGUAAGGUAACGGCUUACCAAGGCAACGAUGCAUAGCCGACCUGAGAGGGUGAUCGGCCACACUGGAACGGAGACACGGUCCAGACUCCUACGGGAGGCAGCAGUAGGGAAUCUUCCGCAAUGGGCGAAAGCCUGACGGAGCAACGCCGCGUGAGUGAUGAAGGUCUUCGGAUCGGAAAACUCUGUUAUUAGGGAAGAACAUAUGUGUAAGUAACUGUGCACAGCUUGACGGUACCUAAUCAGAAAGCCACGGCUAACUACGUG
rnacentral:rRNA from 1 species